rnacentral:rRNA from 1 species
UACGAAGGGUGCAAACGUUGCUCGGAAUUAUUGGGCGUAAAGCGCACGUAGGCGGUUUGGAAAGUCGGAUGUGAAAUCCCUCAGCUCAACUGAGGAAGUGCAUCCGAAACCUCCAAACUUGAGUACUUAAGAGGAUCGCGGAAUUCCCGGUGUAGAGGUGAAAUUCGUAGAUAUCGGGAGGAACACCAGUGGCGAAGGCGGCGAUCUGGGAAGAUACUGACGCUGAGGUGCGAAAGCGUGGGGAGCAAACAGG